GCUGGAAAGAUAUCCCAGUGAAAUCACUUGCUAGACUGCUGACAUGCUGAUGUAAAGUGGAGUCUGAGC